UACGAAGGGUGCAAGCGUUACUCGGAAUUACUGGGCGUAAAGCGUGCGUAGGUGGUUUGUUAAGUCUGAUGUGAAAGCCCUGGGCUCAACCUGGGAAUUGCAUUGGAUACUGGCAGGCUAGAGUGCGGUAGAGGGUAGUGGAAUUCCCGGUGUAGCAGUGAAAUGCGUAGAGAUCGGGAGGAACAUCCGUGGCGAAGGCGACUACCUGGACCAGCACUGACACUGAGGCACGAAAGCGCGGGGAGCGAACGGG
rnacentral:rRNA from 1 species